CUUGCUUCUCUUGAGAGCGGCGGACGGGUGAGUAAUGCCUAGGAAUCUGCCUGGUAGUGGGGGAUAACGUCCGGAAACGGACGCUAAUACCGCAUACGUCCUACGGGAGAAAGCAGGGGACCUUCGGGCCUUGCGCUAUCAGAUGAGCCUAGGUCGGAUUAGCUAGUUGGUGGGGUAAUGGCUCACCAAGGCGACGAUCCGUAACUGGUCUGAGAGGAUGAUCAGUCACACUGGAACUGAGACACGGUCCAGACUCCUACGGGAGGCAGCAGUGGGGAAUAUUGGACAAUGGGCGAAAGCCUGAUCCAGCCAUGCCGCGUGUGUGAAGAAGGUCUUCGGAUUGUAAAGCACUUUAAGUUGGGAGGAAGGGCAGUAAAUUAAUACUUUGCUGUUUUGACGUUACCGACAGAAUAAGCACCGGCUAACUCUGUGCCAGCAGCCGCGGUAAUACAGAGGGUGCAAGCGUUAAUCGGAAUUACUGGGCGUAAAGCGCGCGUAGGUGGUUCGUUAAGUUGGAUGUGAAAUCCCCGGGCUCAACCUGGGAACUGCAUUCAAAACUGACGAGCUAGAGUAUGGUAGAGGGUGGUGGAAUUUCCUGUGUAGCGGUGAAAUGCGUAGAUAUAGGAAGGAACACCAGUGGCGAAGGCGACCACCUGGACUGAUACUGACACUGAGGUGCGAAAGCGUGGGGA
rnacentral:rRNA from 1 species